rnacentral:rRNA from 1 species
ACAUACGGCCAUACCACCCUGAACACGCCGGAUCUCAUCUGAUCUCAGAAGCUAAGCAGGGUUGGGCCUGGUUAGUACUUGGAUGGGGGACCACCUGGAAAUACCGGGUGCUGUAGGCU